GACGAACGCUGGCGGCGUGCCUAAUACAUGCAAGUCGAACGCUUCUUUCCUCCCGAGUGCUUGCACUCAAUUGGAAAGAGGAGUGGCGGACGGGUGAGUAACACGUGGGUAACCUACCCAUCAGAGGGGGAUAACACUUGGAAACAGGUGCUAAUACCGCAUAACAGUUUAUGCCGCAUGGCAUAAGAGUGAAAGGCGCUUUCGGGUGUCGCUGAUGGAUGGACCCGCGGUGCAUUAGCUAGUUGGUGAGGUAACGGCUCACCAAGGCCACGAUGCAUAGCCGACCUGAGAGGGUGAUCGGCCACACUGGGACUGAGACACGGCCCAGACUCCUACGGGAGGCAGCAGUAGGGAAUCUUCGGCAAUGGACGAAAGUCUGACCGAGUAACGCCGCGUGAGUGAAGAAGGUUUUCGGAUCGUAAAACUCUGUUGUUAGAGAAGAACAAGGACGUUAGUAACUGAACGUCCCCUGACGGUAUCUAACCAGAAAGCCACGGCUAACUACGUG
rnacentral:rRNA from 1 species